rnacentral:rRNA from 1 species
UACAGGGGGGGCAAGCGUUGUUCGGAAUUACUGGGCGUAAAGGGCCAGUAGGCGGCCGAUUAAGUCCGACGUGAAAUCCCCAGCUUAACCUGGGAACUGCGUCGGAUACUGAUUGGCUUGAAUUCGGGAGAGGGAUGCAGAAUUCCAGGUGUAGCGGUGAAAUGCGUAGAUAUCUGGAGGAAUACCGGUGGCGAAGGCGGCAUCCUGGACCGACAUUGACGCUGAACGGCGAAAGCUAGGGGAGCAAACGGG